CAGGCAGAGAGAGGCAGAGGAGGAGAAGGUGUUCACCACCGCUUAGGUGAAGGACUCACUAUGGGUGGUUCAUUUUAACCCGGCUGUCUGUUCAGGCUGCAGGGGGGUGGACCAUGUGCACCACCUUCAUGGUUCUCACCUCUCUGGCUGUGGUUCUGCGUCAUCAUUUCAUCAGCCGCGCUAAAACAUUUCCAAAAGACUUGGGGAACAAAGAAGCGCCCUGUGUGCAGAACACAGCCUCAGAAUAAUGAAGCCACCAGACAUCCAACUCAGACAUUUAGGCAGCGUUGAACUGCAGUUAAUGAUCCGAGUGAAUAGAAACAUAUUCAACAGAUGUGGGUCCAUGAUGUGGAAGCCGUCCUCAGGUCCAUGUCCAGACGACUGAAUGCUUCCCUGGAGAAAUAUCCUCAUAAUAAACCUGGGAUCAGCUCACAGUUCCCACUUCCAUCAUCUGUGAUCCAAUGCAGGUCUCUCUCCAGUCAACCAGCUGAUCCAUGGAAGACACUUUAGAUGUUUGCAAACUAUUUUAUAGCUAAGUCAAUAUAACUCACACAUGGGACAGAUGUACUUGAAGCUGAGUUUUCAUCCAAAAUUCAACAUCUACAGUACUGACAUGCACCAAAACUUGGCUGUAUAUCACAAGCAGUUUUCUUUAAACAAAGCAAACACAAAUUGUUUGACAUUCACUAGAAGCACAUAAUCACACUCUGGUGUUUUAUUACAUAAAUAAUGAAAACUGGCUGUUUCCCAAGUUGAGUUUCUUUGAAAUGGCUGCAGACUUUGUCAAUACUCUGUCACACCUGAAAUAAAACAGUACUUUGUGUGAUGAA